AUCUUGGCGUGGCCCCGCUAAGGCAAUCGUGGACCCCGUCUUACCCUCCUCCCCGCGAAGUUUGUGAGAGGGGCGGUGCUCAGCUACCACCCGUCCCAUG
rnacentral:rRNA from 1 species